GUCACAUGCUGUCGUAACCAGUAUAUAGACGAGGCAGCAGUAAAGAACAUCAUUCUGUUAUCUGUUCAGGUUUUACAUUGAUAAAUGUCUGUGUUUAUAAUUAAAGGAAGUGAGAAUCUGA